GCGCAAUGCGAUAAGUAAUGUGAAUUGCAGAAUUCAGUGAAUCAUCGAAUCUUUGAACGCACCUUGCGCUCCUUGGUAUUCCUUGGAGCAUGCCUGUUUGAGUAUCAUGAAAUCUUCAAAGUAAAUCUUUUGUUAACUCAAUUGGUUUCUACUUUGGUAUUGGAGGUCUUUGCAGCUUCACACCUGCUCCUCUUUGUUCAUUAGCUGGAUCUCAGUGUUAUGCUUGGUUCCACUCGGCGUGAUAAGUUAUCUAUCGCUGAGGACACUGUAAAAGGUGGCCAAGGUAAAUGCAGAUGAACCGCUUCUAAUAGUCCAUUGACUUGGACAAUACUUUUAUGAUCUGAUCUCAAAUCAGGUAGGACUACCCGCUGAACUUAA
rnacentral:misc_RNA from 1 species